rnacentral:snRNA from 1 species
GGGUGUGAGAGCGGUCUGGCUGCGACAUCUGUCACCCCAUUGAUCGCCAAGGUCGAUGUGGCUGAUCUGGCUGGCUAGGCGGGUGUCUCCUUGCUCCCUCACUGCUCCAUGUGUGUCCCUCCUGAAGCUGCAUCCCUCAUCCUGGGUCAAAGAGGACGACCUUCCCCAAAUAGAGGAGGACCAAUCUUCCACCAAGGGUAUAGGAGUAGCUGCACUCCCCUGCUAGAACCUCCAAGCAAGCUCUGAAAGGGAAGGAUGGAGACCCUGUGGGAGGAACAGGCUCUCAGCUAAUAAAGGAGAGUUUAACCAUCUCCUUCCCUACU